AUGUGGUUACUAUGUGAUGCGAUUUAUGAGACAAAUUGUUGAAGAAGUUGAAAUUAUCGAAAGAGAUUCACUACGAUCUAUAUUCACACAAGCAGAGUAUUCUCGAGAAGAAAUUGAUGAGGUGCGAUCGGAGUUGGCAGAAUGUAUACAAGAUCAUAUUUAUGAGUAGGAGAAAUGCUCAAACUACAUGGUAGAGAUGGCAUGGAUAGAAAAUGUGGAUACAGGACAGUCGAGAUCAGUACACUAAGGAGCGUCUGGAUUCAGUAAUUGAUCAGUACAUA